rnacentral:rRNA from 1 species
GACGAACGCUGGCGGCGUGCUUAACACAUGCAAGUCGAACGGAAAGGCCCUGCUCUUGUGGGGUGCUCGAGUGGCGAACGGGUGAGUAACACGUGAGUAACCUGCCCUUGACUUUGGGAUAACUUUAGGAAACUGGGGCUAAUAUCGGAUAGGAGCUCCUGCUGCAUGGUGGGGGUUGGAAAGAUUCGGCGGUUGGGGAUGGACUCGCGGCUUAUCCGCUUGUUGGUGGGGUAGUGGCUUACCAAGGCUUUGACGGGUAGCCGGCCUGAGAGGGUGACCGGCCACAUUGGGACUGAGAUACGGCCCAGACUCCUACGGGAGGCAGCAGUGGGGAGUAUUGCACAGUGGGCGGAAGCCUGAUGCAGCGACGCCGCGUGCGGGAUGACGGCCUUCGGGUUGUAAACCGCUUUCGCCUGUGACGAAGCGUGAGUGACGGUAAUGGGUAAGGAAGCACCGGCUAACUACGUG